CAGCAGGUUUGGCAAUUGAGACUAUAACCGAUGACAGGGAUACAACAUAUGAAGAGGAUAUCAAAUCUGCUGGGACCAAGAAAAGUGAUUCAAAAAGGUUAAAAUGACGUUAGAACUUUUGUGAAAAAAUGAGGUUCGACUCUGUUCCUAUAUUAAUGAUAUUCAAGGUCAGGGAUAUGGAAAGAAAGCAGGUCACUCAAUGUUCUUUCUUGAGAAUAUUUUUGUUCCACCAAUCAAAUUCCGCCCUCCCACUAAAGGAGGUGAUAUGGUAUCGGAGCAUGCUCAUACUGUUUUGUUGAGAAGGAUUUUGCAGUCUAACAUAAGAUUAGGGGAUGCCCAUCUAAACAAGAAGGAUCCCUCAAUGGUUUUAGCCAGGUGGGUGGAACUUCAGCAAUCUGUAAAUGUGCUCUUUACCAGUAACACUUCUGGUUGCCAUUGAAAAUCUUUCCACAUAACAAGCAGAAGUGGAGGUUGAGGUUCGAGGUCCUCCAGUUUCAAAAUUGUUUGAUCAUGAAGGAAAUCCAACAAAGGCCAUUGAAGGAUUUUCCCGUAGAUAUUCUGUUCCACUGGACUUGGUAUACCGAAAGGUUGAUGGAAAAACAGAAUAUGUUUAUGCUCGUGUGAAGGAGCUUUCAAGAUAUUCUUUAGAGGUUCUGUCUGAAGAUUUGCCUGCUACUAUUUCUAAGAUAUCAUUUCCAAAGACGAUGAAAUGCAAUUCCCAGGUAUGUGGGAUUUGAGGCAGAUGAAGAACCAGAAAUCUCCCAAAUACGAUCUUCCGUUGAACAAGAUAUUUAAAGAACAAGAUUUUUUUCUCUUCUAUCAGAAGGUUAAUAAUUUUUAUUAGAAGAUACUUAUGUAGGAUACAAUAUUUUGGUUUUUUAUAGUUUAUUAGUAGUAAAUUCUAAGUGGUCUAAUGUAUAUUUUGAUAUGGGUAUGUUUAAUUUAGUGUGAGAUGUAUGAAUACUCAUUUAUGA